rnacentral:lncRNA from 1 species
CCCUCUAUCGUCCAGUCUAUAUCACAAUCACAACACAAAACCAAGAGCGACCACCUGUAUUGGAUGACCAUGGCAAAGUAUGCACAUAGGUUUUCCAUCCUUAUGGUCCUUGUUCUACGCGCCAGCUUCCAAGCCCAAGGUAUGGAACGCACCUCUGGUCACUAAAUUUAUACUAGUAUACGGCACAAAAUAGUUACAGAAAGCGAUUCGUUUGGCGACCUCAGCGCCUGGGCUCCCGCCGUCGAUCUCGCCGCGUCCCCUCGCUUCCGUCGCCCUCGUCGGCGUCGUGAGGUGAGGGGGCCCCAGAUCCACGGGUGGGCUGUAUAUAUAGCGUAGUUUGGUGGCUGUGUAGCUAGGCUUUUGAUGUCGGGGUGGGCUCCUCGGCGUCGCGCUUGGCUCCGGCCGGGCGGCGAGGGUGGCGGAGACGCCCGCGACUUGGUGUGCUUCGGGUGCUGCAUUGUCUCGUCGGCCUCGUCCAUGGUGGCGGCUUCAGGUCAGCUGCUUGUGUGUGCUCCGAAUCGAGCGCUCGAUCUGGUUGGGCGCUCGCCGGCGUCGUCCUUGGCUAUGGCUCGGGAGGCGAUGGAGGAGCUGCACGCGAGUAUGUCUUCGUCCUGGCGCUGCUCCAGCCCGCGGGCUCCGUCGUCGGUGGCGGCCGCAGCUCAGAUGCGUUUUCGCGGGGACGGCGCUUGGUUGAAGGCUGCAUCUCGUCGGCAUUGUGUUCUUCUGGGGCUCGAUUCACCUCGAGCUCGUCUUCUGGGACGGGAUUGAUGGGCCAUCGGCGUAGAUUCCAAAAUUUACACGAUACUGAAAGUUCACUUACACGAUACUGAAGCAAAUAUAACAAUCAUCCAUUGCAUGAUGAUAUAUUUAGUGAGUAUGCUCUCACAUGAAACAAAAUGAAAAUUUUAUUGUCUAUCUUUUUUAUGGAUGAUCUCAUAGAACUGUUAGUAAAGUUUUUUCAUAAUCAUAAAUAAAUACUUGAUAUGCAGGACAACUAUGACCGACGGAGCCAUACAACUUCACAGAGUACAUCCCACUGGAGUUCACAAAGACUUUUUUCCAGCCCCACCGACUACAUCCCUCUGAUACAUCUAUUGCGUUUAAACAGUGUAGGCAGUGUCCCUGUGGCCCAAAGGAUCCCAAGAAACCAUGUGUUCUAGCACCAAGCUGUUGCUAUCAGAUAAACUGCAAUGAUCCUGGAAAACCACUUGGUACUUGUAUUGAACGUGCGAUCUCCUGUAAUUGUGACAAUAGUUGCAAGUGAUCAAGUGUUUCCCUUCAAAAAACUGUUUCUGUUUUCCCGCAAAAAAAACUGUUUUUAGUUAGCUAUGAAGAAGCAAGAUGGAUUACAUUGACCCAAAACUAGUCAAGCAGAUCAG